UCUGAAGACUUUAAAGGAGUGGUUAGUGCAAGUGAAUCCUCCAUCAAUCAUCAAAUUAUCUCCGCUUAUGUACCGCGAGUCAUCGCUAGCCAAAAACAGAACAGCGUUCGCUACAUCAUCAACCGUCAGUUCCACCCCUUUUAGAUUCGCGUUUGCAGCAGCAAAAUUCCUGAAACCAACAAAUGCAUCCUCCGUUCUUUCUUCCUCCGGCAAAUGAGCCAAAGCGAGUUUAGUUGCAACCGCGUAAGGCGAAACACAGUUCACACGUAUCCCGUGCUGUCCAAGCUCCGCUGCAACACUCCUAGUCAAGCCUAGAACAGCAUGCUUGGAACCAACAUAAGAAUGUGGA